CACUAAUACCACUUUCCUAAUACCACUUUUCAUUUAUACACUAAUCAAUUAUACCACCAGAUUUUUAAUGGUCAAAAUACCAUUGUACCCUUAAAUAAUUAAACCUAAACUACUCUCCUUCUUCCCCACGACAUGUGUCUCUCGCCGGAGAUAUCGGUCAGGUUUCUCUCGCCGGAGGUAUCCUCUCCGAUCCGAUCGGUGACUGUGAGAUCGCAAUUGAAUACGCCUCUCAUUUCAGGUAACGAUGAGUGAGGGAUUCGGACUGCUCUCUU
rnacentral:lncRNA from 1 species